rnacentral:rRNA from 1 species
AACACAUGCAAGUCGAGCGGUAGCACAGGGGAGCUUGCUCCCUGGGUGACGAGCGGCGGACGGGUGAGUAAUGUCUGGGAAACUGCCUGAUGGAGGGGGAUAACUACUGGAAACGGUAGCUAAUACCGCAUAACGUCGCAAGACCAAAGAGGGGGACCUUCGGGCCUCUUGCCAUCAGAUGUGCCCAGAUGGGAUUAGCUAGUAGGUGGGGUAAUGGCUCACCUAGGCGACGAUCCCUAGCUGGUCUGAGAGGAUGACCAGCCACACUGGAACUGAGACACGGUCCAGACUCCUACGGGAGGCAGCAGUGGGGAAUAUUGCACAAUGGGCGCAAGCCUGAUGCAGCCAUGCCGCGUGUGUUAAGAAGGCCUUCGGGUUGUAAAGCACUUUCAGGAGGAGGAAGGUGGUGAGCUUAAUACGCUCAUCAAUUGGCGUUACUCGCAGAAGAAGCACCGGCUAACUCCGUGCCAGCAGCCGCGGUAAUACGGAGGGUGCAAGCGUUAAUCGGAAUUACUGGGCGUAAAGCGCACGCAGGCGGUUUGUUAAGUCAGAUGUGAAAUCCCCGGGCUCAACCUGGGAACUGCAUUUGAAACUGGCAAGCUAGAGUCUCGUAGAGGGGGGGUAGAAUUCCAGGUGUAGCGGUGAAAUGCGUAGAGAUCUGGAGGAAUACCGGUGGCGAAGGCGGCCCCCUGGACGAAGACUGACGCUCAGGUGCGAAAGCGUGGGGAGCCNACAGGGUUAGAUACCCCGGNAGUCCACGCUGUAAACGAUGUCGAUUUGGAGGUGUCCCCU